UUAAUAGAUGUUUCCUGUAUAGAGAAUAGAUAAAUGUAAAUCAUUUUUCAUUAUUCAAAUAUUACAAAGGCAAUAAGUAAUUAAGCAUCGGAAAUCAAAAAUCAAAUUAAGAAAUGCGUUAAAAAUGGCAAGAAUUUUGAAAGGAAGCAUAAAGGAUCUUCAUUGUUGCUGAGUUAUACAGAUAAUUAGUUUAUCAUUUGAAUAAAUGAUCAAGAGAUAUGUAACCAUUAAAAACAGAAACAUAAAUCUCCUUCAACAGUUGAACAGUGAAUAAAGAUGGGUUUUAUGAUAAAUUAAGAUGUUAAAUUACUCAUUGAACAAUGUUUACAAUCCAUCAUUGCAAUUAUAAUGAGAAUAUAAUAAAAUUGUUUAAUCAGUUUCUCCUUUAAUUUCACUACAAGUUCUGAUAUGAUGAUGAUAAACCAAAUAAAACAAACUGAAGAGUGUAUAAAUCAGUUUUGUGAAUGUUAAGAGGCACAGAUAAUCACUUUGAUCAAACCUUAAUCAAUUGUAACAUAUAAGACUAUUGAAUCAAUCUUAAUUUGCUGCAACACUUGAAUUACUUGUUCUAAUAUUGUGCGGAAAGUAUAAUACUCAAUAAUAAUUAGAAACAAAAUGUCCACUUAAAUUAUCGAUUGAAAUUGAUUAAUUGAUCGAGUCCCGCUUAAACUGGGAAAUCAGCUGUGACCCGCAAGGUGGCAAUCCUUUCCAAUUUUAAGUUAAGCAUGUGAAUGCGCUAGAAUCUUGUCUCGACUAACUAACACUUAAACAGCUAGACCGACUUUACUUGAGUGACAUUUAACCAUUUUCCCUGUGAUUAAACAUAUUGUGAACCUUGAAAGUGUAAACCAGCAAUUAGGAUAAUUGGAAAUAAUCAGGUUUACACCCGUAUAUUUAAUUCAAUUUUUGUGCUUUACCAUUUCAACCUAAGGGGACUCUCUCUCAACGUCAGGUGAUUGAACUGGAUGGACAAACUCUCCUGUAACCUGUUGCACUGUUUAUACAUUUAUUUAUUCAUCUCUUCUUGUUAUGAUUGUUGAGAGGUUAAACAGAAAUUUAAGUGAACAAUUACAGUUGAAAUAUGAUUAUUAUUAAAUCAAUUGAAUCUGCAAUUGUAAUACAUUAACUGAAAAUUGGCUUUUUUAGCUUAUUCCGCCAUCUCUUCACAUUUUCCCUCUCGGUGGGCGUCUUUACUGGUCUUUUUACUGUUUCCACUAUUCUCAACGGCUCAAUACAAAACAACUACAGUUCCAACAAUCAACGUAAAAUUUUUAAAAUUUGUAAACAAAUCAACACCAACGUAUUCAUCAUCGUCACAUUUUACAUUUUAAAUCUCGCACUCUUCUUUCAUCAUCACAAGUAUCUGAAUCAAAAUGGGGUUAAAUAGUGUGAUAACUAACGAUUGUAAUUAAUCUCUUUUUUUGCUAUUUAUUAAACAGACACAAUAACAUAAUUGACAAAUUGUUUAAUCCGUCAUAAUGAUAAUUUGAUUGUUGACAGGGAAUAUAGUUUAUCAAGCUAUUACCUCAUUUCUGUUCAAUAUGCAAUUCAAUGCAACAUGUUCUGUAUAUAGCUAGAAUUUUCAAAGAUAAACUCAUUUGUACUCAAUUUUAUUAAGAAUCAACAAGUUAUUAAUCAUGUUUUCUUAUUCUUAUUACUAGGUGCUGAUGAAAUUAUCAAAAGCUGUUGACUCAUCCACUAUUAAUAGGGUUGCUAUUCGGGUGGAGAAACCAGAAUCUAAGAAUUCCGAUCAAGGUUGCUGAUAGAUUUGACAAAAACACUGAUAAAUACACUGACCAACAAAAACGGGUUUUUGGAUCUAUCGCACAUCUGAUCAAUCAUUUGAAUCACAAUCACAAACAUUUGAAUCAUUAUCUCAGACAAGUCAAACUGUUUAUUGAUUGUUACAGACAUUGAUAAAGGCCGAGUCAAUGCAAGAGGAGGACAAACUGAUUAGUUUAAAAAAUAAUUCACAAUGCUGAGGACUUAUUAAUCAAGCAACAGUUAAAUGUCAAGUGGAAGAUGACGACGAUUCAAUAUAAAUUGGAUUUCCUAAUGUUGCAAACAGCGUCUAAUAAAAGGCACAAGAAGACAACCGCACAGAAUUAAGGGGAAUCAAUCAAUUACAAAUGGUAAUUACUAGCAGAUAAGUUGAAGUCGAUGGCUUUAAGUUGGGUUAGAUUAAAUGGUGAAUCAAUCAAUUAAUCAUGGUAAUUGGAAAUUGCGAUUAUAAUGUUAACUAUUGGGUGUUAAAAUGCAUUAUAACUAACAAAGCAACAAGUAAAAGUUGAAAUUGGUUUCGGACAAGAGUCAAUUCAAGCUAAAGUCGAGAUGAAUUUGAAAAAAAAGUGUUUGGACGGUUGUUGUUAAAUUUAAAUUGGUUAAGGUAAACAGACUGAAAGAGCUCAACGGAAAUGAAGGCGAUAUGGUUUACAGGUUAAAAGGCAAAGUCCGUUACAGAGUCAAGCAAUUAAGUUAACCAUGAACACUUGUGUUUGGGGCAAGUUAACUCAAAUGCUCAACAAGUAUAAAGUUAUACAGCAACCAGACAUAAACACAAGAAAAAGGCAGUUAAUUUCAUAAUUAACAUUGUAAGGUGAAAAAUAGACAGACAGAGAGAGAAAGACAGAUAGAGAGGAAGAGAGAGAGGAAGAGGGGAAGAUAAUGUGAGAGUUGCAACAAGUGGGAGGUGCGAAGAUGCGGGGUAAAAACGUUACCAAAGUAAAGCUACUUUACUGUGUGUUUCAAGGCGAUUCAAUACCGGUUCUUGCAGAUUCCCCCAGCGAUAAGCAAAUACCAGGCCACACCUUUACCUGUUGUGCUGGUUUCAGCUACCAAAGCAAGAAAGAGAGAGAGAGAGUCAAGGUAGGAGUGACUCUCAAGGGGCUAUCAAGGAAAACCAUGAUGAUAAGGAGAAGAAGAAAAAGAAAAAGAAGGAAAAGUGAAAGAGAAAGGAAAAAAGGUGAACAUCUUGGAAUUUCUUGAGACGCGAUCAUCAUUACCAUCAUCACCACCACCAUCAUCAUCAUCUUCCUCAUCAUCCUUAUCUUCUCAUCUUUUUUUUACCUUUUGUCUAUGGACUUUUCAUAGUUGCCCUUUUGCCUGUUGAGUCUUGUUUUGUUUUCAAUCUUUCCUAGACCAUAACAUGGUUCAAUCCAUGCUUUCCUAUUUUUAUCUUCAAUUGAAAGUUUCCAAUUGAAACCAUUUUUCUUCAUUCAUCUUCCUCUCUCCAUCUUAUUGUUAUCUUCAUCAUUUCUUAUCAGUACAACAACACUGAUUUCCGGAUUGAAUAGUUUGUCAAUUGUCAAAUGGGCAACAUCAUCAAGUAAUGGUAAACCAAGCAACAAGAGCAACUGAAAAGAUUCAAAAAGAUAUCAUUUUUUUAGCAUCUCUUCUCAUUGAUUGUUCACUCAUUGAUAUACUCUUUUUUUUGUCUUUCAUUUGUUAAUAAAUAAAAACACGGUUUCAACAUUAUUCAA